ACACUCAAGAAUUCCCAUUCUGUGGGCAUCAGGAACUGGCUGACUUCAUGGGCAAGAAAAAGUGUGGGUAUUCUGAAAUUGAGCCAGCUACCCGUGGAGGUGGAGGUGGAGAUGCAGAACCGCAGGGAGAGACCCAUGGAAGAAGGGAGGAAUCACAGUGGCAGGUGGCAGGCUCCAAGGACAGUACGAUACCAUGGCAACCGCUUCUGGCUGAGAGUCCAAGGUCAAGAUAUGAGCGGGUUUGACUUCUUCUGAGGCCUCUCUCCUCGGCUUACAGCAGCCAUCUUCUCCCUGGGUCCUCGUAUGGCCGUCUCUCCGUGUGUCCUUUCUCACAAGGACACCAGUCUGGCUGGAUUAGGGCCCACUCUACCAGCCUCGUUUUAAUUUAAUCACCCCCUAAAGACCACCCCACCUUCUCCAGCCCUGGCUGGGUAGCUCAGUCCGGUAGGGCCUUGUCCCAGCACACCAGGGUGGCAGGGUCGAUGCCCGGUCAGAGCACAUGUUUGCAAGAAUGAACAAGAAUAAAUGUGUGGGUGAGUGGAACAACAAAC